ensembl:lncRNA
UCCGAAAUUCAUUCCCUCACCCCCAUGACCGACCGGCUGGGCCUCACCCGUCCCCUCACUCACCCCCACACCCACCUGGUGGACCUCUCCCAUCUCCUCUCCCACCAGACCGACCCGCCGGUCCUCACCUUCCCCCUCUUCCUCCCUGGCCUCUCCCCGGUUCUGGUCCCGAGUGGAGGGGUUCCUCUCCGAACAAACCCUCGCCAGGUGUCCCUCUCCACCACAUCGGAAACACCUCCCAUCAUCCGAUGUGGCAAACAUAACGUAGUCAAACCCCUCGAUCCUCACCUUAAUCACCAGGCUGAGAGCCUGGGCUUUGGUGAGGACCAUGUGGGUCUGUCUCCUGUGAGAGACCACAUGUCUCAGUAAGGGUGACUUGCACCCUGAGGACAUCUUCCUUACCGGGGACACCACCUUCCCGUGUUUCGCCAGCUCCUCGAGCUGCCCCACCAACCCCCCCACGGCCAGACCGCAGUCCUCCACGGAGCACGCGAAGCCGGCGCGAGCUUCACGCCGUGCUUCACGCCGUGCUUCCGCGUCAGCCCUGUGAGGUCCGACAUGCCGACCGGCUACAAACACGCACAAACUAACACAGAAAGAGACAAAAGACACACAUACACACCACCACGCAUUCACAACACACACCAGAAACACACCGAAAUAAACGAAAUAACGGAUAGAAAGCACAAUUCAAACAAUUCACCUCACGCUCCGUACACUCACCACUCCUUCCGCUCAGAGAGACAGGGAGAGAGAGAGAGAGAGAGAGAGAGAGGAUGUAUGGUGGUUGAUAGCUAAUUGUGGAGGGCCAUGGAGUCAUACAUAACGUGAGAUUAAUGGCCAUCUGUUGAAUGUUGAACCGUUGACAUUUAAAAAAAAAAUGAAGGCAGAGGAAAUUAGAUGGUGUUUAACCUCAUUUUGUUACAAUAAUGGCACUUUUUUCACAAAUGUGUCCGUCACAAACAAUUUCACACAUGUUCACUUGUACAAUAUCUUUUCUUCUUCAAAUACACUAUGAAAGUAUGUAUUCUUACUUUGAAAUCAUCUGUCCUGCCAACAUGUGUACCAAUAAAACACUUGUAUUUGAUUAAAUCCUGGGUUUUAUUAGCAUGACCCCUGGCACCUAUUUGAUGGAAAGGAGGAAAGGAGGGAUAUAAGGAUGGACAGUUGAUGGAUGGAUGUAAAGGGGUUUAGAAAAAGAGGAUAUAAUUUGAGAUGAGAUGGGAUUAAUCAAACCGUAUUCAACGUGUAAGACUAAUGAGAGAGACAAUAGUUAAAGUAAAGGAAACACAAACAAAGACAAUCAUUUAUAUUCAAUCGUGGAUUCUAACCAACUUCAAAAAUGAUAUUCCAUUGGGAAAAUGGAACUGUCAUUGUAUUCAGAUAAACAGGCACUCAAAUGAAUUCACUGAACACCAUAUUUAAUUCAGAACACCUCAUUACACAUUGAUAGGAAUACAAUAAAUACGACUUGUUAGUGCUGCCCAAUGUGUGCCUGUGUUGUUUGUUAUUGGUCAAAGAGUUAUGCUAAAACAAUGCUUGCUGUUGCGAUGGGGGUUUAGGCUAUAUAAAAUAAAAUUAAUUGAAUUGAAUUAUCAUUAGACUAAUAUCAGAUUUUGCUUUGUUUCGGGAAUCAUCAUCAGACUUGAAAUUGUCAAACAGAACCUGACGAUAAGAAUGGCAGAGGGUUUUAACACUUUUUUUUUAAUUAGUUGUGCUAGGCUUUACCAGUAACCAGCAUAGAUGCGCACACAAGGUCAAUGGAAAAUUGAAAAAAAUAGAAAACUAGCACUCUUCCCUUCUCAGUAUAGCCCAGUUGGUAAGACGUGCCUUGCACUUACUCUUAAACUUCAUCUGAAAUGUGUUGGAUAGUGUUGUGGUCAGGGGCAGCCUUUCACACUAAACUACAAAAAGUGUUCAUUUACAGGAGAGGCCUUCGUUCAGCACUGUCAUGUUUACACAGGAAAGGGACUUGUGUUCCGGUGACUGAUGCCGUAUGGAAGAUGGAAGCACAAUGUGAUCAAAAGCUUUGUUUGUUUGUUUCUCAGGUAGAGCAAUGAUGCAUGUUUGAUCAUCCAAAGUUUGUCAGAAACUAAUCAAAACCUUUAGUAACAAUUGAAUCAGUAUUUAAUGUAAUUAUUCAUCCCUCCAGAGAUCAUAGUUGAAAUAUGAUAACUCAAACUAUUUUUGGGCUAUAUUGGAAUUAAGUUUAGUUUAGUCUUUUUUACUUAUUUAUUUGUCAUUUUUUAAACCUUUUUUUAAUGUGCUGAUGUAGAAAAAAAGAGAUGAGACACCUCUGCUGUUCAGGGUCAUAUGCACUCAAAAUCAAGCUGAAUGAAUCAAUUGUAUUAAAAGUAAACUAUAUUUAUGAGAAGGAUCCCCAAAUAUACAUGUAAAUGCUCUUUCCACUUCCCCAAAACCCAUCCCACUUCUAGAUGAGUCAUUUCUAGAACUGCUUUCCGUAUUGAGUUUGGCGUGACUAGCUGAAAAGCUGACUUAAUGUCUGUGACAUAAUAAUCGGUACCAUUUUAAUGUGAAUUGACCACAUCUGAAUGUGAAUUGGUCUUCAUCUUCUGACACGUCCUCUUCUAUUUCACUGUUGAGAUCAAGGAUGAGCUCCAGCACCUCCAGGCCUGUCAUCUAGGGGUGUAAUGAUUCAUUUUAACAACGAUUCGAUUCGAAUCGCGAUUCAUGGUUGCCGAUUCGAUUCAUGGACGAUCUGGGUUAAUUUAGAACGAUUCGAUUCGAUUCAGUGACUUGAAAUCGAUUCAGUAACUUUACUGGACAGUGCAGGCAAAGUUUCUGAGAUCCCUGUUGUUUCUUGUAAGGAAAUCAGGUUUAAAUUAAUGAUGGAUAUUAUAAACAAGCAAACAACAAUUGAUGGCAAAUGUAUUAACCUUUUAUUUGAAUCAAGUGCCAUUUUCAAUGUAAACAUUACACAAUAAUUACACAAUGUUUGGAUCAAUUCACAGAACCCCGGAUUUUCAACCACAUUGUAGGGUCGCAUGUCUUUACAGAUAAACUUGUCAAUUGUUACUGUGAUGUCGAGUUUUGUGCUGGCGAGGCCUGAGGUGUCUGCAGAGCUGGAGUUACCUUCUGUUGCUGCUGCAGCGGUAACGCUGCUAGAGGUGCCUGACUGUCGGCGUUGUUUAAUCCCACGGCGCCUUAGUAGAUGGCCAGAAAGAGUCGUUGUGUUUCCGUUUUUUUUAUUUGUCUUCCACAUAUUCUACAAACAGCGACCGACUUAUUCAGAACACCUCCGUGUUUACAAAAGCCAAAAUGUUUCCACACGCUGGAUCGAUAAGUUAGUUUGUAAAUGUCUCGCUCGCAGUUGUCUCCGCCACGCUGUGUUUUGUUGUUGUUCCGAGUUUCGCGCGGCUGCCGCUGCGUACUGGAUGACGUCACAGACAGGCAGACUGAAUCGAGUAACGUUUAACGUGUCUAAAGUGCUAAAACACAAACAAAAAAACACGCAUCCAUGCCGUUUUUGUACUUAAAUCCAAUGUGCAGUUUCCAAGUAUCGAUACAAUCGAUUAUGUACCAUUUCAAUCGAUUUGUAAUCGAUAUAUGUCGUACGGAAUGCCGAUUUGCGGAGCACAGAUCAAUUCAGUUGGAUCGCAGGAAUAUAAAUCGAUUAAUCGAUUCAGUGAAUGAAUUGUUACACCCCUAAAUAUUAUCAUAUGUGUAAAUUUGAAAAACAACUGGGAGAAAUUUACAAAUAUUGGAUAAUGUCUAGGGCACAAGUUCCCACCUUAAAGACUACAAGGCAUAUUAUUCACGACAUGCCACUUAAAAACCUCAUUCCAUCCAAUCCCACAACUCACACACUUACAUGUAACUGCUUGGUGUUAUUCAAUUCAAUUCAUUUUAUUUUGUUUAGCCCAAUAUUAAAUAGUAAAUGGUAAAUGGCCUGUACUUGUAUAUAGCGCUUUUCUAGUCUUCUGACCACUCAAAGCGCUUUAACACUACAUGACAUCAUUCACCCAUUCAUACACUGAUGACAGGAGAACCAUACACAGUGACACCUGCCAUCAGUAACUACCAUUCACACACUGUAGUCGCAGCUACAAGAGCAAUGUUGGGUUAAGUGUCUUGCCCAAGGACACAACGACAUGCGGGUUAGCCGGGCCUGGGAUCAAACUGACAACCCUCUGAUUGGAGGACGACCGUGCUCCCCACUCACCCACAGUCACCCAAUUACAAAUUUGCCUCAGAGGGCUUUACAAUCUGUACACAUACGACAUCCUCUUUCCCGAAACCCUCACAUAGGAAACAGGCACAGGAAAAACUCCAAAUGAAUAAACCCUUCCAAGAGGGAAAAAAGGGAAGAAACCUCAGGGAGAACGUCAGAGGAGGGAUCCCACUCCAAGGAUGGAGAGACUACAAUUGAUGCCAUGUGUACAGAAUUAUUCAUGAUGAAUAGCCAAUCCCACUAAACAGUUGUAAACAUUUUACAUACUUUACAACUUUCUCUCAUGGCUUUCGGGUCAGAGUAGCUGAUGACCUUCUAGCUCUCGCUCUGUAGUUGCACUUUUUUGGAAAUAAAACCGUCUGGUGAAGUUAUUCAUGCCAUCUUUUUUUUCUUCCCUCAUUUGAGGCGCGGGUAAUGGAUGAAUGAGACCUCCAGCAACGGCCUACGAUGGCGAGCAGUUUUUUAUUAACCAUGAUUAGUAAAAUCUAUUACAGUAAAUAGCAUCGUGCUUAUAUUUUAAGCAACGUUUUAGGGGAGUAAAGGUGUGUGGAUUUGAAAAGUUGAGAGUUGACAUUAUAUACAAGUGAGACAACCUGAAAUCUUGAUAUAUGAUGCUAAAGUCUUCAGCACUGGUGCAUUGUCUGUUGAAGAAAAUCUAACCCACUGCUGUCCUGCAGUGGUUUAUUAUUUAGUGCAUGUAGAACUAUGACAUUUGAAUUAAUGUAAUACCAACAAUAGUGGUAUUAAUUAAAACGACAUUCACAUUCAUUCAAUGACUCAAACAGCAUCAACCUCCAUCAGCUAAAGACAUUCCUGCUGAUCCUCCAUGACAUGAUUUUAGAGGAUGCAGAUAUUAGAGAAGGCAGAUGGUCACUUUCUACUUCCACUACUAAUUAUUUUGACAAGAUAAAUAGUAGGGGUGGGAUUCUCUUGGCACCCCACGAUUCGAUUCCGAUUCAGAGGUCAACGAUUCGAUUCAAAACCGAUUAUCGAUUCUAAACUGAUAAAACCAUGAUGCAUCUUGAUUUUCUAAAUUUUCUCAAAUCUGAGUUUGCUACUCAGAGGUUGCUAAUCUCUUCCUACUUCAUUUGAUAAUUAAAGAAAAUCAACAGAUGAAUUACCUUCUCUAAUUUUUUAUAAGAGAAAAAAAAUCUUUGUCACAAAUUUUCUAUCAACAAUGCAAAAACCAAUGCAGCUUGCAUUUCAACACAAUAUGGAAUUAGCCUAUGUAAAAAAAAUAUUAAACAGAUUAAUUUUUCUUUUAAAUGAAGAAAAAGCUGCUCUUAGUCUCAGACCGGUCCGUAUUUGUAAAAUACCAGAAAAAAGUCCUAAUCUGUGAAUAUCUUGGCAACUUCCAAUACGGAUCGAAUUUUUUGAAAAUCAAAAUAAUGAGGUAAGAUAUGCGCAGGCUCCUUCAUAGUUCAGUAAAGUUGGCAAGAUAUUCAGAUUCAGACUGACGGACCGGUCUGCGAGCUGGACGCAUUGCUUUUAAUGUGCCGGUAAUGGUGGUAAAUUAUGGUAAAUGAUGGUUAUAGCUGGUUGUCAUCUACGGUCCACUACGAUUACCGAAGGGGGGCGUUUGUUUUUUGACGUUUUAUCUCAUAAUUUUGAGCGAGGAGGUUCACGCUCCGCGAGCGAGUAAAUAUUUCGCGCAAGAUGAACUUUUGCUUGCGCGAAACGGACUUUUAUUUAUUUUUUUAUUCCGAUUAUUAACUUUUCUGAAUCGAGACCGAAUCGUUCUAGAGAGAAUCGAGAGAAAUCGAAAAAUCGUAUUUGUAUUGCAUGCAAGCAUAACGUGUUCUAAAGUAUAUGUAAAAAAAGAAAACAAUAGGUUGUUAUUAACAAAGAUGGCUCUUCAAAUACUUGAUUUCAAUAAACUACUUCAU